rnacentral:rRNA from 1 species
CGGCAGGCUUAACACAUGCAAGUGAACGGGAUUGCUGGUGCUUGCACUGAGCGAUGAGAGUAGCGCACUGGUGAGUAACACGUGGGAACAUGCCUUUUGGUGGGGGACAACAGAGGGAAACUUCUGCUAAUACCGCAUAAGCCCUAAGGGGGAAAGAUUAAUCGCCGAAAGAUUGGCCCGCGGAAGAUUAGGUAGUUGGUGGGGUAAAGGCCUACCAAGCCGACGAUCUAUAGCUGGUCUGAGAGGACGAACAGCCACAUUGGAACUGAGACACGGUCCAGACUCCUACGGGAGGCAGCAGUGAGGAAUAUUGGGCAAUGGAGGAAACUCUGAACCCCCAGCCAUGCCGCGUGAGUGAAGAAGGUUUUCGAAUUGUAAAGCUCUUUCGGAUACGAGGACGAUGACGGUAGUAUCUAAAGAAGCCCCGGCAAACUUCGUGCCAGCAGCUGC